rnacentral:lncRNA from 1 species
AACUUUACUUUUUUCUUUAUUUUUCUUUUUUCUCCCACCGUAGUUAAAAAUCCCCUACCGCCAAUAAAACUUUCAUCGCUGCUUCAAAAUCCAUGGACGCCGUGACUUAAUCCCUCACCGCCGAAACGAUUUCAAAAGCUGCCCUAACGAAAUCCCUUGCACUCUCUAUUUAUAGCUUUUCCACCCCAAGCUCACUUUCUUGACAGGUUUUCCCCACAUCUUCGAUUCAUUAUUCUUUGUACUUUAUUUUUGAUUCGCAUUUCACGUCUACAAAAUUUUUCUUCAGGUCGCUUAGAUCUAAAUGCAACUUUUGUUUAUCAGAUUUAAGUUUUCACAUAUAUUUUGCUCUAUAGUAGUGUCAAAUCUUCCAUUUCGAGUUAAUUUCAUACCCGUCCACUUUAUGUUGCAAAAGUUCUAUUCAAUUUCGGCAUAAAUCAGACCCAAAAAAUAUGUUAAAUUUUUGACUAUUAAUAGUUGUCUACUUUUUGUCAAAUCUAUGUGUAAUUAUUUGUCUAUUAAUAGUUGUCUACUUUUCGUUUAGUUUUCAGAAUGGCCAAUAUUCCUCUAGCUACAAACGCAUUCCUUAUUGAACC